CAGGACCUGCAGGACGAGGACGUGGCCGCCUUCUUGGCCCUGGCCCAGGACGCCCUGGACAUGACCUUUGGCCUCACAGACCGGCCGCGGCUCUUUCAGCAGUUUGGUCUCAGCAAGGACACUGUGGUUCUCUUCAAGAAGGUAGGUCAGGCCCAGGUGAGGGUUGGGGUCCGGCUGCCGCGCCCGCUGACCCACCUGCUGCUGUCCAGUUUGACGAGGGGCGGGCAGACUUCGCCGUGGACGAGGAGCUUGGCCUGGACCUGGGGGAUCUGUUGCGCUUCCUGGUCACACACAGCAUGCGCCUGGUCACGGAGUUCAAUAGCCAGACGUCUGCCAAGAUCUUCGCGGCCAGGAUCCUCAACCACCUGCUGCUUUUUGUCAACCAGACGCUGGCUGCGCACCGGGAGCUCCUAGCGGGCUUUGGGGAGGCAGCUCCCCGCUUCCGGGGGUGCUGUUCGUGGUGGUGGACGUGGUGGCCGACAAUGAGCACGUGCUGCAGUACUUUGGCCUCAAGGCUGA
rnacentral:sRNA from 1 species